GUCCACGCUGUAAACGAUGGAUACUAGAUGUCGGGAGCUUUGCCCUCUCGGUGUCGUAGCUAACGCGUUAAGUAUCCCGCCUGGGGAGUACGGUCGCAAGAUUAAAACUCAAAGAAAUUGACGGGGCCCGCACAAGCGGUGGAGUAUGUGGUUCAAUUCGACGCAACGCGAAAAACCUUACCUGGGUUUGACAUCCCCGGGCUAUCCUAUGAAAGUAGGAGUUCCCUUCGGGGACCCGGUGACAGGUGCUGCAUGGCUGUCGU
rnacentral:rRNA from 1 species